UACGAAGGGGGAGCUAGCGUUGCUCGGAAUCACUGGGCGUAAAGCGCACGUAGGCGGCUUUUAAGUCAGGGGUGAAAUCCUGGAGCUCAACUCCAGAACUGCCUUUGAUACUGAGAGCUUGAGUCCGGGGAGAGGUGAGUGGAACUGCGAGUGUAGAGGUGAAAUUCGUAGAUAUCGCAAGAACACCAGUGGCGAAGGCGGCUCACUGGCCCGGUACUGACGCUGAGGUGCGAAAGCGUGGGGAGCAACAG
rnacentral:rRNA from 1 species